UGCUGCCACAUGGUCUGAACAGAGGUAAUGAAACCUGGUUCAUCAUAUUUGACUUUUUAUUUUGAGUUCUGACCUUUUAUCAGUUUGCUGAAUUGUGUUUAUUCUUUUAGUUUUGCGCCUUUCCCUGUCUGUUGGCGUCCUCCGAUACAAGUAAUGUUAAGUGGGUUGGAGGAAACCUGGAUAAAUGUACCUAAACAGACACGAUCAGCUGCUUUUUUGUCUUUUAGAUUUUCUUUGGUUUAUUUUGUUUGUUUUUUGUCAGCAUUUUAGUCCUUGAUUUUAAUGAAAGAGCCAUUUUUGCAGAACAAACUUUUUUAUAUAAUAGUUUUAAUCAUUUCUUUGUGUAACCUUUUCUUUCUCAUCCCCAUACAACUCAGUGGAGGUUAGACACGUAGACUGCCUCCCUCUUGUUAGCUCCCCUUCCCUUUUGUUAGUUUUAACUGUCCUGAAGUGUUUUAGUGAUUAAUUGUUUAAAAAGAAUCAUUAGUAAUAAACUUUUCUAACCAAUUAAUUCAAUAACAGACUCAAACAUUCAUCACUAACUCAUUUGUUUUUUUUCAGCAGACACUUCCACUAUUCCAACUAUUUUUUCAUCUAAUAUUAUGAAUAUAUUUUGGUUUGCUUCGAUUCACGUAUCCGUCUCGUAGAAUUUCUCGAAUCUGUGUUCGCCUUUUAAUAGUUGAAACUGGGUAAUUCCUUGGGUAAAAGUCCCUAGGUGGCUGUUGUCUGAAAAUGGCCCUUAUCCCACACAGCCAUACAUGCAGCUGUAGGCCUGUCGCGAUAAUCAAUAAAUCGCCUUAUCGCUCGAUAAAUAAAAACGAGGUCGAUAACUUUGCCAGCCUCGAUAAUUAACGUGCGUUUGUUUUCCUCCUCUCUCGCUACCAAACACGCUGGAUGAGAGAAGAGGUCUCACUCUGCGCAUUGUUCUCGGCACCUGGGGGCGUUGGCUCUAUAGAGGAAUGAACGGAGUUAGUGAACCCUCCUGUCAGUCAUUCAGUGUCUUUGUCACGAGGGGGCUGGCGCGCACAGGCACACAGACACAGACUUUUGGAUACAGUGCUGCAAGUGAGCGUCGUGAGUGAAAAGCAAGCAAACAGAAUGAACACGACAGCUUUGGUGUCUAAACCGAACGCAACAGCCCAAGUGUGGGAAUAUAUCGGCUUUAAACCAGUUUUGUUUUCGUCAACCACAAAACUCCACGUGUGUGUGUGCGCGCGCGUGCAUGUGUGUCUGUGUGUUGGAGGAGCACAGCAGGCUGAUGAGAGCUGUCAGAGCGGACUGAAGCUGCUCCUAUAUGUUUAGCGUUUAACUGACUGAGUUUUGCAACUCUGUUCGUCAUUUUCGUCUCGUCCCAUCAACGUAAACGCACUUUCGUCUCGUCACAUUUUAGUCAUCUCCGACUUAUGUUUAGCUCGUCAACGUUACGUCUUCGUCGUGGGAGAAAAGGGAAAUAUUUUAGUCAACGAAAACAACCAGUGUUGUUCUCGUGUGGAAAUUAAAGUUUAUCACUUUUGACAGGGUGUACUCGCAUUAUUAUGCCAUAUGAUAUCAUUAUCUAUAAUUUAAAAAAUGGUGUCAAUAAUAUCGUUUAUCGGCAAUAAUUUGUAGCACAAUUAUCGUCCAGCAAAAUUUGUUAUCGUGACAGGCCUAUGCAGCUGCCAUGUGUGUUUAUACUGGUGAUGGUCUGGAUCCACACCCGGGCCCAUGCCACCUGUGACCACCCCUUUGGCUCUGCCCCUGUUUUAACUUUCCCUGGUAUAAAACUCUUGGUUAUUAGAAGCUAUUAGAAACGUAUUCCCUCUCAAAGUCACCUACUACCUGCUAGGGCUGGGUGAUAAACCGAAAAUUUACAGAUAUCUAAAUUUAUGACAAUUACCAACAUCAUUUUGCCCAUAUCGGUAUAUUCCAUGUCAAAUAAAUGAGUAAAAGUUGUUCUUGGAUGUGUGUAGGUAGGCUAUGGUCUCGUGUCCCUUUAAGACGCUGUCAGAGACGUGACUCCACCCCAUCCAGUCCGUAAUCCGGAGUCCGGACGGUUCAAAAGUUGUAGCGGCUGAAGUAGACGAAGUUAAUGUGGGAGGGGGUGAGCAGCUUGUGGAGUAGUUAUCGUCCAUUUAUCAUUAUCCUGGUAAAUUACUCGAUAUAUCAUAUUGAUUUGAGCCUAUAUUGCUCAGCCCUACUACCCACCUACCUAAAUUAACCGUCACUCCCACAGUUUGCACUUCCACAUCUCAGUUUUUACCGUGACUCUUUCAGAUUCCUGCUCUGUUUUUCAGACAGACUUUUCUUUUACCUCUGGUCAGUGUUGGAGUCAAAGGUCUUGUGUCUUUUGGUGGGAAGAAAACAUCAAGAGGAACAGCUGGCGGAGAGAGCCUGAGGUGAACUUUCAGCAGCGAGGUCACGACCCGGUCGAGGCGCCACACAGAGAGGAGGAAACAACCCGCUGCCUCAGCUCUGGAUGUUUAACGCCGACUGUGUCGGUAUUUCUUUGGUAACAUGUCAAACUUUAACCUGUAACUUUGGAAAGUUUCACUCAAAUUUAGACUUUUCUGUUCGAUUUUUAAAACUUUUCUUCUUCCAGCCAAGGAAGGGUUAUUUUCAGAGUGGAGAGCUUAAAUUAAAGCUCAGGGGGUUUCAUUUCCAGGUAACUAAAUUACUUCUUCUGACCGAGCUCCUCUGGCAGACACAAAGCAAUUACAAACUGCAACAUAGUCGGACUUUGGCAGCGUUAAGAAAUGAGAGUAAGGUGUGUCUGGUUUGACUGACAGGUGGGUGGUUGUUGGUUCCUAGAUUCGUCAGGGUCAGUGUUUCCAUCAGAUAAAGACCUUCUCAUAAACCGCCGUGUGAUGUUUCCUCAGGCUACAUCCAUGAGAACAACAACGCUCAUUCAAGAGAAAGUUUCAGGGAUCUUCGAGUGCCGAAGUGUUCAGAGCCACAAUGAGGCUUUCAGAAACAUGACAAAACAACUCGCUGAUGCCUUUAUUUUUCCUGCUUUUCAGAUUUCGGUCCUUGACUUUCAUUGAGUAAGACUCAAUGUUAUAAAGAGCCGUGAGCUGCCUGCACAACAACAAAGGCACCAAAGUGUUGAUACUUAAGUAUAUCCUCAUCUCUACAGACUCUGAAUAAUGCUUUUGUUCCUGUUUGUACCGCUAAAGUGAUCUGAAAGCAAAAAAACUGUUUUUUUUCCAACAAAAAUGUUCAUUUUUUAAAUAUUUUUUUCGUUAAUUUGACAACACAGCCCCCAGAGUUUAAGAAGUCUUUAUCAUGGUAAGAAUUGGUGAAUAUUAUCCUUAUGAAAAAAAAACAAAGGAUGAAAACCUUUGGAGCAAACCUGAGGAAAGAUAUUUAGAAGCUUUUGCAAGAUCCUGCAACCCAAUUUUCAGGUCACACGUACCAGAAAUAUAGGCGCAGAUAUACAGACUGGAUUAUUUUAAUGUAGUAUUAAUUUUUAAGUGUUGUCCUGUGACCAAAAUUCACUUUUUUUGGUGUAAUAGCCCUUUUCAUUUUUCCACUCCUGCUCACAAUGUCCCGAGGUUUCUUCAGGUGUCGAGUAAACGCACACCCUGCUUUUAAAAAAUCAACUAAAACCCUCAACAAUUCAGACUAAAAAACAACAGAUAUAUAAUUUAAAAUCCACUUUAGGUAAAGCAGUUGCAGAGUUUGUUAAAGCUUUGAGAGAGAAAAAGCAUUAAAACGCUCAUUUCUGAAGUUACUCCAGGAUUGAGGCGUAAAAUCAGAGGAGGCUGCUCUUUCAUGUUUUGAAUAACACGGUUUUCUUCUAUCGCACCACUUUAUGUCUCCGUGUUUUGACCAAAUUAUGCCAAAGGAAGAGCAAUAACCGGCAUUAGCAUACCAGCCUCGUCUCUGUUUCCCAAACACAAACAGCAAGAACAGCGAGCCCCCCGAUGAGAGAGGAUCAAAUUUACAUGUUUUUACUCUAAUCAAUACAGCAGGUAAACAACCCGGUGCAGGUCGGGUGAUCUACGCCCACUUUGACCUCCAUCUGCAUGAUGCUGGAUGGAAAAUUCAUCAAAUGCACAGACAGUCUGAGUGAACCCUGCAGUGUGAGGAGGUUAAUGAACUCAUGUGAGGACUGAUUUUUACUUUCAGACAGGAGCGGAGCGGUCAAACGUUGUUCUGGUGCAGAAAAUGAUCAUUAAGAGAAAACCUGCUCAUCAUGUAACCAGCUGACGACGACAGCAGACCAGUGUAUUAAAGGAGGAAAUGAGCUUCAGGUCACAUGUUAGGACACCUUCUUAGCUGUGAGAUGUUGGAAAGUUUUUGCUUUGAUUAAGUUUCAUGACUUUCUUAAACUUUAAUCCACGCUGUAGUCGGCGGCUCACAGAAAAAACUAAUGAAAAACAGCUGAAUGCAGACUGCUCUUAUUAAACAUAAUUAGAAAAACUAAGUGAUUUAUGUAACAGGUAUUAACAGCUGUUGGUUUAUAAUAUUGUACUAAUUUGAUGUAUUUGUUGGCGCAGUUUAGCAUCUGCAGCACUCGAGUCUACGAUGAAUUUCCCUAAGGGGACGAUAAAGUGUAUUUUAUAAUAUGGUAUUAAAUUGAACCUAAUUAAAUCGAAUUGAAUCAUACUGUACCAGAUCAAAUCAUAUCAUAACGUAAUGUAACAUUUUAUAACAUAUCAGAAUCAUAUUAUGUAUCGCAUCGUAUCUCAUUGUAAGGUAACGUACCGUAUUGUAUCAUAAGCUAUCUUGUCAUAUUGGACUGUAUCGUAUUGUAAUGUAUAGUAGCAACAACAUAUUGUAUCUCAACGUAAUUAUUGUAUCGUAACGUAACGUAACAUACCAUAUUGGUAUCAUAAGGUAAUGUAACAUCUUUUAUCCUAUUGUAUUGUAACAUAUUGUAACGUAACAUAACGUGACAUAACCUACCGUAUUGAUAUCAUAAGGUAAUGUAACAUCUCUUAUUGUAUUGUAUUGUAACAUAUCGUAUUGUACCGUGUUGUAUCGUAAGCUAUCGUGUCAGAUCCGAAUGUAUUGUAUCAUAAGGUAUCGUAUCGUAAUAUGUGGUAUCAGCAACAAAUUGAAUCCCAACAUAAUGCAUUAUAUCAUAAGGUAACAUAUCGUAUUGAAUGGUAUCGUAAGGUAAUGUAACAUCUUGUAUCAUAUUGUAUUGUAACAUAACGUACCGUUCCGUGCUGGAUCAUUAUGUAAAGAAUCUUGUCGUAAGGUGUGGUAGUGUUUUGUGUAAAAUGUAAUUGUGACAUACCGAAAUGUAUCACACUGUAUCGUAUUGUAUCAUAUCCUAUCACACUGUAUCAUAUCACACUGUAUCGUAUCGUAUUGUAUCACACUAUAUCGUAUUGUAUUGUAUCACACUGUAUCGUAUUGUAUUGUAUCGUAUCAUACUAUAUUGUAUCGUAUCAAACUAUCGUAACGUAUCAAACUGUAUCCUAUCGUAUCACACUAUAUUGUAUCGUAUCACACUAUAUUGUAUCGUAUCAUACUAUAUUGUAUCGUACCAUAUCAUAUUAAAAAAACUCAGAGAUCAGCUGCCCUUCUGUGAUCACUUGGUUGCCAAGAUUAUCACAGCAUCGAAGUCGUUAGCUUUAAUAAUCGUUAUAAUAAUAAAACAUUUUAUUCAUAGGUGCCUUUCAAAGCACUCAAGGUUACCUCACAAGACAAACAAAUAUAUAGUCCACAAAAUAAGUUGAAACAAUGGACAGUUAAAGUGAUAGUUUUUUUUUUUUCAUAAGUUUCAAAAAGAUCAAUCCCACCCGCUGUCCACUGAUUAUUAUAAAAAAAACAUGAUUCUGGCUUUAAGGGACGGUUAAUUCCACUUUCUCUUGUGCUGAUGCCUAUACUGGAUUUGUUUAGCCCCAGUAUAAGUAAAGAUUUUAGAAAACCAAACAAAGCAACAAGUCCUCUUACUUUUACAGCUCUGUACAUCCUCCGUUCCUCUUGUAGCGUUUCUUAUAUAACCAUCCCAACCGCAAC
rnacentral:lncRNA from 1 species